AGUGAACGCUGGCGGUAGGCCUAACACAUGCAAGUCGAACGGCAGCACAGUAAGAGCUUGCUCUUACGGGUGGCGAGUGGCGGACGGGUGAGGAAUACAUCGGAAUCUACUUUUUCGUGGGGGAUAACGUAGGGAAACUUACGCUAAUACCGCAUACGACCUACGGGUGAAAGCAGGGGAUCUUCGGACCUUGCGGGAUUGAAUGAGCCGAUGUCGGAUUAGCUAGUUGGCGGGGUAAAGGCCCACCAAGGCGACGAUCCGUAGCUGGUCUGAGAGGAUGACAGGCCAAAUUGGGACUGAGCUACUGCCGCGAGUGCUAGGGGAGGCAGUAGUGGGGAAUAUUGUAAAAUGGGCGGAAGGCUGAUGAAGCAGGGCCGCGUGCGGGAUGACGGCUUUGGGGUUAUAAAGGGAAUUCGCCUGUGACGACGCGUGAGUGACGGUAAUGGGUAAAGAAGCACCGGCUAACUAAGUG
rnacentral:rRNA from 1 species